UAACCAUGGUGGGGACACUGAUUUAACAGAUCCUUAAACCGUUCCCAAACUUAAUAUAGAAUUUUAUUGUCCUUUUAGGUAAAGGUCGAGAUCUGUCACUUCAGACC
rnacentral:snoRNA from 1 species